rnacentral:rRNA from 1 species
CCUACGGGAGGCAGCAGUGAGGAAUAUUGGUCAAUGGACGAGAGUCUGAACCAGCCAAGUAGCGUGAAGGAUGACUGCCCUAUGGGUUGUAAACUUCUUUUAUAAAGGAAUAAAACGAGGCACGUGUGCCUUUUUGCAUGUACUUUAUGAAUAAGGCUCGGCUAACUCCGUGCCGGCAGCCGCGGUAAUACGGAGGAUCCGAGCGUUAUCCGGAUUUAUUGGGUUUAAAGGGAGCGCAGAUGGGUUGUUAAGUCAGUUGUGAAAGUUUGGGGCUCAACCGUAAAAUUGCAAUUGAUACUGGAAGUCUUGAGUGCAGUUGAGGCAGACGGAAUUCCUGGUGUAGCGGUGAAAUGCGUAGAUAUCAGGAAGAACCCCGGUUGCGAAGGCAGCUUACUAGACUGUGACUGACAUUGAGGCUCGAAAGCGUGGGUAGCAAACAGGAUUAGAUACCCUUGUAGUC